CAAGUCGAGGGGCAGCAGGUCUGUAGCAAUACAGAUGCUGGCGACCGGCAAACGGGUGCGGAACACGUACAGAACCUUCCUUCGAGCGGGGAAUAGCCCAGAGAAAUUUGGAUUAAUACCCCAUAGUAUACUGAAGAGGCAUCUCUUUAGUAUUAAAGAUUUAUCACUUGAAGAUGGCUGUGCGGCUGAUUAGGUAGUUGGCGGGGUAAAGGCCCACCAAGCCUGCGAUCAGUAACUGGUGUGAGAGCACGACCAGUCACACGGGCACUGAGACACGGGCCCGACUCCUACGGGAGGCAGCAGUAAGGAAUAUUGGUCAAUGGACGAAAGUCUGAACCAGCCAUGCCGCGUGAAGGAUGAAGGUCCUCUGGAUUGUAAACUUCUUUUAUAUGGGACGAAAAAAGGGUUUUCUAACUCAACUGACGGUACCAUAUGAAUAAGCACCGGCUAACUCCGUGCCAGCAGCCGCGGUAAUACGGAGGGUGCAAGCGUUAUCCGGAUUCACUGGGUUUAAAGGGUGCGUAGGUGGGUUGGUAAGUCAGUGGUGAAAUCCCCGAGCUUAACUCGGGAACUGCCAUUGAUACUAUCAGUCUUGAAUACCGUGGAGGUCAGCAGAAUAUGUCAUGUAGCGGUGAAAUGCUUAGAUAUGACAUAGAAUACCAAUUGCGAAGGCAGCUGGCUACCCGAAUAUUGACACUGAGGCACGAAAGCGUGGGGAUCAAACAGGAUUAGAUACCCUGGUAGUCCACGCCCUAAACUAUGGAUACUCGACAUACGCGAUACACUGUGUGUGUCUGAGCGAAAGCAUUAAGUAUCCCACCUGGGAAGUACGACCGCAAGGUUGAAACUCAAAGGAAUUGGCGG
rnacentral:rRNA from 1 species